GUCCCGGAGGGCCGGGUGGAAGCUGGGAGGGAGGCAGCCCCUUCCGUCAGCGGGUGUCGCUUCCGGUGCGGCGUCGGCUGCUACGCGGCCCCGGCCCGUGCCCACCGCCUGCUGCCACGGGGGAGGAUGAGGAAGAAGGGAAGCCCCGCGACCCACCACCCUCCCGCACCACGAGUGGACCUUUGAGGAGCAGUUCAAGCAGGGUUGGGCAAUGGUACAGGAGGCCACCUGCUUGGCAUUUUUCCUCCCCCCACCUCAGACCGCUGAACCAUCGGGGGUGCCGAAGGCACAGCAGGGGAUGGAGUUGGGAGGGCAUCGAAGACACAAACCGGCGAUCAAUCAGGAGUCACGCAGCCCGCAGACUACGUCCCGGUCACGGUCCAGCCGCGCCGUCUCCAGCUGGGGCUCACUCCUCGCAGCAGUCAUCCCCUCGCCAUAAAUUCUCCUUGUGGAUCAUGUCAGAAUCACCACUUGCGAGGGCGAAAACUCAUGGACUCCACACAAUCCAAUAUGAAUUCAAGCGAAGCCAUUUAUUACAGAAACAAGCCUCCUUAUAUAUGCAGUUAUUUCCUGAUCACAUGUCCACACUCCAAGCAUGCGUUAGCUGAUUGGAUAUUGUCUAUGUUCACGAGCUGUCCACAUGCCCGAGUGUCACUGCUGAUAGGUCUGUUGAUUUACGUCGUGUUUUCAGCUUUCCAAGGUGGCCUUGAAAUUUUUUUUGGGCCUGGCUAGUUUAAUAACAAAUCUCCAUCUAAUAGAAACCCAUCUAAUAGAAACCCAUCCACACAUUAACUUCAAGAAAAUCCCUCAAAGCUUCCACACCUGUUCAGCCAUGACUGAGUAACAAAGGGCUGAGCAUGGAAGAUGCGCACUUGCUGAGAACCUGAGUCUACUUCCUGCACCACAGCCCCUAGAUGGACAGAUGUAGGAUGGCGGGAUGGGGCCAUGGCCAGUGCUGGCAAUGGCACCACGCAGCACGUUUUCUCCAGAUAUGUGGCUCUAAACCUUGGGUGAGCCAUGCUGGCACCCCAUGCCUCAGUAUCCCCUCCUGCAAAACAGUUUGAGGAGGAGGCUGGAGACCCUGCAAGCUCCCUCUUCACCCUGGGGCUGGGCUGCAAGUGGGGGCCUGCUGUCCCAAGGUCAGCACUGCUAGCAAACAGUCUCUCACCUUCCGUGAAGCCAGGUUAAUGUUUGCAGCAAGCAACUCUUCCAGGAGAGGGGGCUUUUAAUGACCUGCUGGAUCUGCCACAUUAUCAGCGCUGAUUAAACCUGCUGCUCUAUAAAGCGCCAUUAAAUAUUAAGCACGAUGAAAGGUUCGGGGUGGUUAGCCGCGGCACUGGGAGAGGGCUCUGACUGGGAUUGUCCAGCCACACUGGUGGGGUGACUGCUGAGGCUGAGGGAUGCUGGAGCAAGCAAGCCCUCCAGUGCCUAUCAGGGCUGUGGGUUCAGGGGACCAGUUCCCCCACUAUGAGCUGGCAGCACCUUCAAAUGCAUCCAGAGUCCAGGCAAAGCCGUCCUGUAACCAUUAACUUAUGUAACAGCUGGUGGUGAAGGUGAGUGGUGGCUCGCAAGGUCAGGAAGUGGUUUGUGACCAGCAGGAAGUGAGCUGCCCCCCAGGUCUGGGCAUGGGGACGGGGCAGGGGGAGAGAACCUGUGAGACCUCAGCUCCUUUAUGUGUGCCUGUGGCAGGAUGCAAGCCCCCCUCUCUUCCCUCUCCCUCCUUCAGUAUGGAAGGAGUAGACACAGCUCCCUCUCUCUCUGCUACUUGAGGCUAACAGCUUCUUUUGUUUGGCCUCAGAGCACCCUGGCCAGGGCUAUUAGGAGAAGGGAGUGACGAGGCGCCACUGAGCCCCUGGGCACCUGCGGCCAGUGUGGGGGAUGUUUGGAGGCUUCAGGGGCACCCACAGCCAGUGUGGGGGUGCAGAGAAGCUUCUAGAAUGCCUACAGUCAGAUCUGAUCAGCCAAUAUAAAAAAACGGGACUCUCGUCGAGACUCCGCCCAUUGUCGCGGGUCUCUCGGAGCAUGAGCAAGAUGCUGCUGCCGAGAGCCCCCCUCCCUGGGAUGGAGACUCCACUUGCCUUGCUGCCACGCGUGUGAGUAAAAUUAACCCUUGCAGGAUUGCGAGUGUAUUUAUACUUUCUGUGCACAUAUGCACGUGUAACUUUCCGUGCUCAGUAUGAGCACAUGUAAAAUUAAUCCUCGCAUAAUCGCGGGUGUACUUUCCUCCCAUGCUUCCACAUAAGCACGUGUAAUAUUCCGUGCACAUUUGCACGUGUAAGUAAAUUAACCCUCGCAGGAUUGCGAGUGUAUUAUAAAUUUACCCUCGCAGAAUCGCCAGUGUACACUUUCCGUACUCACUACGAGUAUGUGUAUCUCUUUAAAAAUAAUCCCACAUCGUGUUUAGGCAAGUGUGUAUUCCUCCCGGACUCAGAGACGGCUCUGGCAUUGUUUUGGGUGAAGCCAUGUGCAUGCACACUGUGGACCGCCUGUUGUAUUAGUUGCUGCCCCUUAAUAAUUUUCCUCAACUGAUAUCCGAACCUGUAUUUAAGUCACUUUUGGAGUGCUAAAACCCUAUUUCUCACCGGUUUAAUACAAGUUGUUUUUGGACCCUGUUGUCCCUUAAACUAACCUCGGGGUGCCUCCGUGACAGUGCCCCAUAGUGGGGGGAGUGGAGGGGGGGCAUGGGGCUGUGCAUCCACUGGGAAUGGCCAGUCCCUGUGGUUGCAAGCCUGCGGAGUAAACUGAGGCACCAGCAACUUUCCCAUCCCUCCAUCCCAUCAGGACACCAGGCAGGGACACCCCAGUGUCCGAGUGCCUGGCUGUGCACCAUCUUGCUGGGGAAGGAGCCAGGGAUACUCAGUUUGGAAGUGGCAGUGAUGCUCCAUAGGGGCACAAGGACCCCAAAAUAGCCCAUGGGUGGUUGGCCACCUGUGGCAUCCAGCUGCACCCUGGAGGCCGGGACAGGGGAGCAUGGGGCUGAUCAUCACCUGAGCUCCCUGCAUGAGCAGCGGUCAGAUGGAAAAAUUAGCAGCACGGCUAAUCAAUGUGGUGAAUGUUAAGUGGCUCAGGGUUGGCGGGGGGACACGAGGUGGGGGGGAGUUGAGCAGGGACUGGGAUCUAUAUGGCUCAUAUUAAAUAGAUUAAAUCCUGGUUGUCAAUCUGAGCCCUUGCUGCCAGCAGGCGGUGGCGGCUGAACGGGGGCUGCAGGGUGUCCUGCUGUGAUCGCUUCCCUUGGCAGCAGGGCCGUGGGGGAGCCAUGGAGGGUUCACCAGGGCAGGGUAACCUGGAGAUGCCUGGGGGUUUGGCUUAGCACCUCACCGGAUCCCUCCUCUGGGGGAUCAGCUGGGCCAUGGGGUGCCAGGGACUUCAACUCCAGCCCUACAAGCCUCCCAGAGUUGCCUCUCCUGGGUGAGUGUGAAGUGCUAAUGAUCGUCAUGAGGAGGCAGGAGAGGCACAAGGUUUAUUCAUGUCCCUUUAAUAAACCAUGUUUGAUCUGCUGACUUGCCUGCCUGACAAGCCCUGUUAUCCCCAUCCCUUAAGGAAUAAAGACAUUGCCAUUGCAAUGGGAUGACGGAAGGGAGCAGGGUCCCAGGAGAUGCACCCCAGGUGGCGAUGAGGACACGCUGCUUUGGCACUGCAUCAGCACCCAAGUGUCUGUGCCAGGCAGAAGUGGGGUGUCGCUGAGGAUACCAUGACUUGGUGGGGGGGGGCAAGCCCUGAAGCCCUGUGGACUGGGUCCCCAAGGUCAGCAGAGCAGAGCUGCAUUGUGCACCAGUGAUCCUCAGGCUUGACAGCUUAAUAAUUCUAUUUAUAGAGGAAUACAGUUGCAUAGUUUAAUGAGUCACUGAUUAUAUAAAUGCAAACACAAUUAAAAGGGUCCUUGCUCAUAGGUUGCCAAAAGCAGGGGCUACUGCUCUUGUUGCACAAGUGCCCCUGGGCUGCAUCAAAAGAAGUGUGGCCAGCAGGUCAGAGAAUCAUACAAUCAUUUCAGUUGGAAGAGACCCUUGUAAUAGACUUAAUGAUAUAUUUGUUAAUCAAACCGGUCUAAAUGGAUAUGUUAUCAGUGGCUGUGAAACCUGAGCAUAUAACAUGAUAUUAGUACAUGCUGCCAUUAAACAAUGCAACCUGUAUGUAGUCUUUGUAAAAAACUUGUUCCACAGAUAUGUGUAAAAGCCUAAUUUAGUGUACCCUGCAGAACAUUCAGUAAGAGACUGACAGAGAUAAGGGCCCAGUUGCAUCCUUGUGUGAACGAGAUAACAGGGGUCUUCAGCACAAAGCGGGAUGAAAACCAGCUCAAGCCGUUGAAGCCUUGGCCAAACCCAGCGUGCUAGGCCAAAGAUGAGAAGUGCACGACAAGAUAGACUGCAGCCUUCAUCCAAAAGACCUCCGCCCGUGACCACCCGGAGACACUGCGCAGGCACAACAGGAAAGAGCCAAAGGUGAAGACUAUAGAUAUAAUUCCUUGGAACUCAUUUUAAUAAGAACGGCCUUUUUGAGGAAAAAGUUAUGAAUAUGUAUAGGCGUUCCUGUAAUAACCAUGAAUAUGUAAUCCUUUACCACAUUUAACCAAGCUUGCUGCUACUGGAAAGGCGCGCCGUGGUGGAGCGGAGACUCCCCAGCCGCCCAGCACUGUUUUGCCCGCUUGCCGCUUGCUGCAAUAAAUUCUAACCAAUUUA